rnacentral:rRNA from 1 species
AGUAACGCGUGGAUAACCUGCCUCACACUGGGGGAUAACAGUUAGAAAUGACUGCUAAUACCGCAUGAGCGCACAGUACCGCAUGGUACGGUGUGAAAAGCUCCGGUGGUGUGAGAUGGAUCCGCGUCUGAUUAGCCAGUUGGCGGGGUAACGGCCCACCAAAGCGACGAUCAGUAGCCGACCUGAGAGGGUGACCGGCCACAUUGGGACUGAGACACGGCCCAA